rnacentral:lncRNA from 1 species
UGGAUGGGCACGAGGCCGGCUCCCGGACCUGGCUCAGGCCCCCGGGGAGUUCUCCGUCACCACCCCCGCCAUCGUCUUUGCGGCAAGUGGUCUGGGGACAGCGGUGCCCCCCACAGCGUCCUGGUGAGAAGCACAAGAGAACUGGAGAGAAAUAGAAAAUCAAGAUUCCUCUUCCCUGGAGAACUGAAAACCAGAUGACGUGGAUGAGAACACCCGCAAACCCCCUUUCUCUCCAGUUACCCAGUCCUGGUGCAGGAGACACCCGGCCGCAUCUACACUGCAGACAGCUGGUUCGGGGGCCUCGGAACUGCGGAGCAAGAGGGGCGGCUGUGUGCCUUCUGCUUGGCGUCUGCUGCGGUCUGGAGGACGCAUCCCCAGCUUCAGCUCUGGAGGGCGUUCUGCCAUUUCACCAGGCUUCAGGCCUCCAAAGCGUCCAGCUCCACACCUCCGUCCCCGUCUCCAGUCCAGGAGGCCACGCUUAGUCCCGCUGUCUAUUGGUUCUAUCGGUUGCAGAGACGACAUUGCUCUGGAGAGGCAGCUGUCCUGGGAGGCAGCCGGGACCAUCAGCUCCCCACGCCUCGCUGUCUCCCUCAUUCCUGGUGCUUGGCACUGGCUGGCACCAGUCACUCAGCGGCUUAUAGGUGAACAUUUGCUGAUUUCCUUGUAUCCAAGCAAUUUUACAAAUUCAUUAGACAGAAACGAGAAGCUGCCAUGUAUUUUAGCAGCGGAAUUUAAAAGACCUUGAAGGGAUUGUAUUUCAGGAAAGAAGCGGCCCCUCCCACCAUCUGUCAGAUUUGGAAGGACUUUGUCAGGAUGCUGACCCUGGCCCACGCGCCGGCCUGCGCUGCCCACAACCUGGAAUGUGGCUCUUUCCCACCUCUCUCAGCGUCUCGCUCACCUGUCCACCUGUGCACUCGGGUGAGAAUCAGGACACAGAUGAUUACAGAUCUAUUCAUAAAAUGAAAUUGCAUGAUUUAGCCAGGGCAUCUGCUGUCAGUGCAUCUAACUUCCACGAGGAGCAUCUGGGCACUAGCUCGUACUCGCCGGCAUUGACAGCCCUCAGGAGCUACGGCCCCGAAUGUGAUCUGGCGCUUUCCCUGCUUG